GCGGCUAUAUAUUAGUUUGGUUUGUUUCAAGAAUACAGUAUUAUCUUACCUCCAAUACAUUUCUAGGAAUAUGAUUGGUUAAAGGUGUCCGCGUGCAAACUGUGUAUAUUUGAUAUUAGGUUAGUAGGGAGGCGGGGAUUAUUUCAUACACGGUUAGUAGUGGUGUUACGUCCCUUUAUAUUCCAUCAUAGGUAAGAAGGG
rnacentral:lncRNA from 1 species